CCUACGGGUGACAGCAGUGAGGAAUAUUGGUCAAUGGACGAGAGUCUGAACCAGCCAAGUAGCGUGAAGGAUGACUGCCCUAUGGGUUGUAAACUUCGUUUAUAAAGGAAUAAAACGAGGCACGUGUGCCUUUUUGCAUGUACUUUAUGAAUAAGGAUCGGCUAACUCCGUGCCAGCCGCCGCGGUACUACGGAGGAUCCGAGCGUUAUCCGGCUUUAUUGGGUUUAAAGGGAGCGUAGAUGGGUUGUUAAGUCAGUUGUGAAAGUUUGCGGCUCAACCGUAAAAAUGCAAUUGAUACUGGCAGUCUUGAGUACAGUUGAGGUAGGCGGAAUUCGUGGUGUAGCGGUGAAAUGCUUAGAUAUCACGAAGAACCCCGAUUGCGAAGGCAGCUUACUAAACUGUGACUGACAUUGAUGCUCGAAAGUGUGGGUAUCAAACAGGAUUAGAUACCCGAGUAGUC
rnacentral:rRNA from 1 species